rnacentral:rRNA from 1 species
GUGGGGAAUAUUGGACAAUGGGCGAAAGCCUGAUCCAGCCAUGCCGCGUGUGUGAAGAAGGUCUUCGGAUUGUAAAGCACUUUAAGUUGGGAGGAAGGGCAGUAAGUUAAUACCUUGCUGUUUUGACGUUACCGACAGAAUAAGCACCGGCUAACUUCGUGCCAGCAGCCGCGGUACUACGAAGGGUGCAAGCGUUAAUCGGAAUUACUGGGCGUAAAGCGCGCGUAGGUGGUUUUGUAAGUUGGAGGUGAAAUCCCCGGGCUCAACCUGGGAACUGCCUCCAAAACUGCAUGACUAGAGUACGGUAGAGGGUAGUGGAAUUUCCUGUGUAGCGGUGAAAUGCGUAGAUAUAGGAAGGAACACCAGUGGCGAAGGCGACUACCUGGACUGAUACUGACACUGAGGUGCGAAAGCGUGGGGAGCAAACAGGAUUAGAUACCCCAGUAGUCC